AGAAUUCACAGUGCCAAGUUCAAAUUCCAGUGUUCAAGCUGUUCUUCAAAAAACUGUUGCUGCUUGUCAGCUAUAGAUGGAACAUUCUAGCAAGAGGCCAUGACAGACUCCAGACAUAUUCUUCAUCAUAAGCAAGAAGAACACUGGGAAAAAUGGCAAUAACAACGGUUUUCAGAUAUCACGCAGCAGACAGUACAGUAUCAUGAUUCCUAAGAAAAACGAAUUGAGGGAAGUCCCUUGGCCUUCUGCCUGGAACCUCAUUCUGGACCAUUGAAAGACAUUUAACCAUAACUGGUAAAGUAGAAAGUCUGCGUGGAUCAUCGGAGACAUUCAGUAGAAAUCUUAAAGGUUGGCAUGCCUUGGCAGGGGAUGAAGCCUAGAGUGAAGCUUUUCUAGGAUCUCAAACAGGAUAUUGCCUUUAGUUUCAGAUGAGACAUGGACAUUGGACUUUCAAAAAUAUUGGAACUAGUAAAAAUGAUGGAAACUUUUGAUGUUGGACUGAAUGCCUUUUGCCCAGGAAGAAGGUUAUGAUGAACACGAUGUAUUAGAGUGUCAGGUUGACAAAGGGUGGAGUUGUGUUAAUCAAUAUCCAGAAUCACCUAGGAAAGAAGCCUCUAGACAUAUCUUUGAGGGAUUAUCUUGAUUAGGUUAACUGAGAUGAAAAGAUCUGUUCACUUUGGGGUCCCAGGCUAAACACAAAGGAGAAUGCUGAACAGAAGCAUUCAUUGUGAG